rnacentral:rRNA from 1 species
AGCAGCCGCCGCGGGAAUACGUAGGUGGCAAGCGUUGUCCGGAAUUAUUGGGCGUAAAGCGCGCGCAGGUGGUUUAAUAAGUCUGAUGUGAAAGCCCACGGCUCAACCGUGGAGGGUCAUUGGAAACUGUUAAACUUGAGUGCAGGAGAGAAAAGUGGAAUUCCUAGUGUAGCGGUGAAAUGCGUAGAGAUUAGGAGGAACACCAGUGGCGAAGGCGGCUUUUUGGCCUGUAACUGACACUGAGGCGCGAAAGCGUGGGGAGCAAACAGGAUUAGAUACCCGCGUAGUCCCUGUCUCUUAUAC